rnacentral:lncRNA from 1 species
GAUUGAUCACUGUGAUUUCAAGUCCUUCAGGUGAUUGAUCACUGUGGUAAUUCAUUCUUUUGUCAAAAUUUGAUGACAAUUGGGGUUGGAGGGAAGCAACAAAAUUCCUAUCCUGUAAUAGACGUUUUUGGUGUGUGACUUGAUAGUUGUUCACGUCGAUACAAAAUUUCAUUCAUGUGGUUUUUUAAGGCAUUUGAAUUUAACAUUGUUUUUAUGAUUGUCUAAGAGCUGGAGCUGUUAAGACUUGAGACAGAUAUAUACAGGUAACAGGGGCCUACAAGAUCCAAUUCAUGUUAGUUACCUAUAACUCUGUACCUAAAUGCAUCUUUCAUAAUGUUAUUUCUGUAAUUUAUAGAAGUAAACAAAUUCCUUACAGGUUUGACAGUUCGUCAAAAUAAACAAGUAGUAUUGAUGGGUAAAGGUGGGUACUGAUUUAGUAUGAACAAGUCUGCAUGUUUUAGAACUUCUGUAUUUUCUGAGUUUUCUUUCCUUCAUGCAUUUUCCGAGCUUAUGUAUUUUUUGAGUUUUAGCAAGCUGAAAAUAUGGCGCUUAUUCAGAAAUGUUGGCAUAUCAAUAUCAUGUGCUUGCAUAUGUAGUAUCCAGAGAAAAAUGAUGUGCAAUGAUGAAUCCUGACAAUCUACACACACAUCACUGUAUUUUGUUCACUUGCUUGCUAUUUCUGGACUAUUAUUGAUGGAGCAGCAGAAGAGGCUUUUAGUGUUAUAAUAUAUGUUCGACUUAUAAAUUCAAUAGCUGAACAAAACUUUCAAAAAGAUUACUUUGACUGACUAAAGUAUGGACAUAUAUACCGCGUGUUAUCGUUUCUUCUUCUUCUUCACUUAACUACAUGUGAAGCUGAAGCUGAGCCAAUGUGCUUUUCCAGAAGAAACUGAGGCACAUCAAUCAAACGCCAACCCACCUGCUAUUGGCACUAAAUGAGGAAGGAAAAAGAACAUUGUCCCUGAAGGCUCGAGACACACAAACAGGAAACUGAGUUUGGGAAAGGUGGUUGUCUCCUUGAUGCACACCAUGGUGCCCUUGUCUACUCUCUGUCUUCUUCCUUGCACAGGUAUUUUAUUUCAAGAUUUCGUAAGUGGUCCGCACUGACAAAUGAAAUACGCAAAAAAAGAUACUUAUGUUGUUUUGUUCUUGCAAACACCUUAUUUACUGGUAGUAGGUUCUCUCAUAGCAUUUUUCGGUGGAGUUGUACUGACAUCUUUGACUGAAGUUUCUUUCAACUGGUUAGUUAUAAUCUUCCCAUUUCUGAAAUUUCAAAGUCAAAUGAUUGGGGAAUGCAUCACACUAUCCAUUAGUUCAGUCAAGCUCACAUUAUUGGCAAUUGAGUUAAGUCUUAUAUUUAUAUGCCUGUAACACUCAAAACUUUCUAAAAUGAGAAGUGAUAUGUUAAUUUUUGAAGAGACUGUGAUUAUGUUACAAGCAUAUACAUCACUGGCAAUGCGAAAAAAAUAUUAAUAAUACAUUUUCCCGUUAUUUUAGCUAAAAUAAUGGAGCACAUUUUAUUUUAUUUUAUUUGCAAUCUGAAGCUUGGUUGUACUUCAGUCUCUGGCAAUUGGUUUAUUUCUUGUGGUCAAUUUUGGAGCAGAUGAUGGGUUGUUGGUUGUAGUGAUUUGAUAUUUUAAUGACUAUUCAUAUCAAUGAUUAUGCUUGGCCCCAUGAGAAACACACGAGGUAGAAACGAUUGUGAGAUAGGGAGGGGAAUAGAAAGAUGACGAGGAGAUGCAUUUAUCUACCACAUCACAAGCAUGAAAUAUCAUCACAUGUCAAUUGUCUAUGACUCCCAUAUCAUAUAAAUAGAAAUCCAAUAUUUUUGUUUCUUGUGAAGUUGGUUCACUUUAUUCCCUUCCUGUUAGAGUUGAUGCUUGAGAUCUAGGGCCCAAACAAUUUGUGACCAUAGACUGCUCAGAGUUGUCCUAUUUGAUCUUCAAGUGCAACCCUUCCAUUGUUCUAUUGCAUCUCUGAGCCAUAUUAGCAUACAUUUCUAAUCAACAAUGAACUACCGGAUUUACUUCAUGUCAGUUGUUACUAUCUCUUAGAAAUUCUUUCUGCAUUCAUCAUAUAAGCAAUUAAAUUCACUAUCAGCAAAGUUCACUGCAAGUUUGCUGCACAAUUUUUAUUUGAUAGAUACACGUGAGAUUAUUAUUUUUCUUUACGUUUGUUGAAUAUAUGAAUAAUUCGUUUGAGAACAGGGACAAAACAUGACAAGAAAGGGGAAGAACUAACCUACAUGGAGCUUGGUCAAGGUCGUCGCUCAUGUUUGAUGGCAUUGUUUCUGGUUCCACCGACGUUGUCGAUGCCUAUUACCUAUGGCCCCUUUGCUGCUUUCCUCGGUCGGGCGUGGUCCAUCAGCCACUGCAUGCAGACAAUAGAAUUUAGGCCAGCAAUUGUCGCUUAUCUACGCUACAGAUCGACCCAUAGACAGGGAAAGGAAGCGAUGGUUGGUGGGGAGAGGAGCCGGGGGACGUGUUGUGACGGGACAAGAGGCGCAGUGGCAGGAAGAGAAGGUGAAGACUACGCCAUGUGAGUUGCUGAUGUUGUGCCUUAUGCGGUGGGGAUAAGGGAUGUGUGAUGUGCUUGUGUGGUGAGAGGCGAGGAGUGGCUUUUCCUUUUUGCGGGAGGCUGUUCAUUUUUGUCUAUUCUAUUUUUAUAUUCAAGAUACAUACAAUAUUUAUCAUCAUUAUAAUCGAGAUAAUAAAUAGUUAUUUAUUCCAUUAAUGUGUUGAGUUAUUUUGUUUUUGAUUUUAAU